ACAUGCAAGUCGAGCGGUAGCACAGAGAGCUUGCUCUCGGGUGACGAGCGGCGGACGGGUGAGUAAUGUCUGGGAAACUGCCUGAUGGAGGGGGAUAACUACUGGAAACGGUAGCUAAUACCGCAUAACGUCUUCGGACCAAAGUGGGGGACCUUCGGGCCUCAUGCCAUCAGAUGUGCCCAGAUGGGAUUAGCUAGUAGGUGGGGUAAAGGCUCACCUAGGCGACGAUCCCUAGCUGGUCUGAGAGGAUGACCAGCCACACUGGAACUGAGACACGGUCCAGACUCCUACGGGAGGCAGCAGUGGGGAAUAUUGCACAAUGGGCGCAAGCCUGAUGCAGCCAUGCCGCGUGUAUGAAGAAGGCCUUCGGGUUGUAAAGUACUUUCAGCGAGGAGGAAGGUGUUGUGGUUAAUAACCGCAGCAAUUGACGUUACUCGCAGAAGAAGCACCGGCUAACUCCGUGCCAGCAGCCGCGGUAAUACGGAGGGUGCAAGCGUUAAUCGGAAUUACUGGGCGUAAAGCGCACGCAGGCGGUUUGUUAAGUCAGAUGUGAAAUCCCCGGGCUCAACCUGGGAACUGCAUUUGAAACUGGCAAGCUUGAGUCUCGUAGAGGGGGGUAGAAUUCCAGGUGUAGCGGUGAAAUGCGUAGAGAUCUGGAGGAAUACCGGUGGCGAAGGCGGCCCCCUGGACGAAGACUGACGCUCAGGUGCGAAAGCGUGGGGAGCAAACAGGAUUAGAUACCCUGGUAGUCCACGCCGUAAACGAUGUCGACUUGGAGGUUGUGCCCUUGAGGCGUGGCUUCCGGAGCUAACGCGUUAAGUCGACCGCCUGGGGAGUACGGCCGCAAGGUUAAAACUCAAAUGAAUUGACGGGGGCCCGCACAAGCGGUGGAGCAUGUGGUUUAAUUCGAUGCAACGCGAAGAACCUUACCUGGUCUUGACAUCCAGAGAAUCCUGCAGAGAUGCGGGAGUGCCUUCGGGAACUCUGAGACAGGUGCUGCAUGGCUGUCGUCAGCUCGUGUUGUGAAAUGUUGGGUUAAGUCCCGCAACGAGCGCAACCCUUAUCCUUUGUUGCCAGCACGUAAUGGUGGGAACUCAAAGGAGACUGCC
rnacentral:rRNA from 1 species